UUAGAGUUUGAUCCUGGCUCAGAGCGAACGUUAGCGGCGGGCCUAACACAUGCAAGUCGCACGAGAAAAGGGCUUCGGCCCCCAGUAAAGUGGCGGACGGGUGAGUAACACGUGGAUAAUCUACCCUUCGGCGGGGGACAACAAUCCGAAAGGAUUGCUAAUACCGCAUACGUCGGCUGGCUCUGCGGAGCUGGCCGGGAAAGCAGCCCUCUCCGUGGAAGGUUGCACCGAAGGAUGAGUCCGCGGCCCAUCAGCUAGUUGGUAGGGUAAUGGCCUACCAAGGCUUAGACGGGUAGCUGGUCUGAGAGGAUGAUCAGCCACACUGGAACUGAGACACGGUCCAGACUCCUACGGGAGGCAGCAGUGGGGAAUAUUGGGCAAUGGGCGCAAGCCUGACCCAGCCACGCCGCGUGAGUGAUGAAGGCCUUCGGGUCGUAAAGCUCUGUGGGGAGGGACGAAAAAACGUUGGCUAAUAUCCAACGGA
rnacentral:rRNA from 1 species